rnacentral:rRNA from 1 species
UACGUAGGGUGCAAGCGUUAAUCGGAAUUACUGGGCGUAAAGGGUGCGUAGGCGGUUAGUUAAGUCUGUCGUGAAAUCCCCGGGCUCAACCUGGGAAUGGCGAUGGAUACUGGCUAGCUAGAGUGUGUCAGAGGAUGGUGGAAUUCCCGGUGUAGCGGUGAAAUGCGUAGAGAUCGGGAGGAACAUCAGUGGCGAAGGCGGCCGUCUGGGACAACACUGACGCUGAAGCACGAAAGCGUGGGGAGCAAACAGG